GCUAAUAAAAGCUUCUAUUUUCAUUUUUCUCUCUCGGUAUCUGUGUGUCUCCAUAGCCAGAGCGAGAGAACGAGAGACUAUGGGAGCUUCGGCAGACGAAGAACACAUGUUGCUCUCCAACCAGUUUGAUUCCGUCUCUGCGCCUUUGCGUGAUCGAAGAACUUCCAAGUAUGUUCAAGAUAACGUCCACGGAUGCAUCUUUAUCGAACCGCUCUUCUUGGACUUUAUAGACACUCAGCAGUUCCAGAGGCUUCGUGAUCUAAAGCAACUUGGUAUAGCAUGCAUGGUUUAUCCAGGGGCUGUACAUUCUCGUUUUGAACAUUCACUAGGGGUUUACCACCUUGCUGGUGAAGCAGUUCAAAAACUUAAACUUCACCAUGGCUCUGAGCUUGGUAUUGAUCGUUUUGACAUGCAGACUGUAAAACUUGCUGGAUUGCUGCAUGAUAUAGGGCAUGGACCUUUCAGCCACUUGUUUGAGCGCGAGUUUCUUCCUCGGGUUUGUAAGGGUGUGGAAUGGUCUCAUGAGCACAUGUCAGGUGAUAUAAUUGAUUACAUUGUUGACCAAAACUGUCUUAAAACCGAUCCAGAUAUAAUUAAGAAGGCAAAGGAAAUGAUUCUUGCUAGCUCUGAAUUUGCUGUGCCAAAAAGCACGGAGAAGGAAUUCUUGUAUGAUAUUGUUGCAAAUGGUCGAAAUGGAAUAGAUGUUGACAAGUUUGAUUACAUUGCCCGUGAUUGUCGAGCUUGUGGUCUUGGCUGCAGUUUUCAGUUUGAAAGAUUGAUGGAAACUAUGCGUGUUAUUGACAACGAAAUAUGCUACCGUGCCAAGGAUUAUCUUUCUGUCUACAAGCUGUUUUCAACUCGUGCUGAUCUGUAUCGAACUGUCUAUGCACAUUCAAAAGUGAAGGCAAUAGAACUCAUGUGUGUGGAUGUAUUGGUAGAAGCGGACAGUUAUCUAAAAAUUUCUUCUCAGAUCAAUCGACCUGCUGACUUCUGGAAGUUGGAUGAUACCAUACUAAAAAGAAUUGAAACAGAUACCAGCGAUGAGCUGAGGGUUUCAAGGGAUUUGAUUCAACGUAUCCGUAGACGGGAUUUGUACCAGUAUUGCAAUGAGUUUGCUGUUCCGAUUGAUGAAUUAGAGCACUUCAAACCUGUCACCGCUCAAGAUAUUGUUUGUUCGCAGAAAAGUAGUGAAGUCACUCUAAGAGAAGAGGAUGUCAUUGUUAGUAAUGUCAAGAUUGAUUUGACUCGUGGAAGGCGCAGUCCUCUUGAGAGCAUCAAGUUUUUCCAGGACUAUGAUAGCAAUGAGAAACUUUCUAUAAAGGAGGAGGACAUCAGCCUUCUGCUGCCUGCAUCUUAUCAAGAUAUGAUCGUGAGGGUGUACGCUAAAAAGCAUGACCUGGUCAAGUCAGUUUCUGAAGCCUUUGAAAAUUAUCAGCGUCGGAUGUAUGGAAACACAAAACAAGUCCAUGCGACACCAGAGAAGAAGAAACGGAAAAAAUUAGCAGAAUGCUGAUGAACCCAAGUUUGACCACUGUUGCUCGUAAGUCCAUGGUAGCCACCCAAGGGCUGGGGAAUGGAGCCUAAAUCUAGAUUCAGCUGCUCAAUAUAUGUGGCUGUUCGAGAUUUUUACUACCCUUCCUGAGUGGGAGGGGAGUGCAUAUCGAGCACAUGAAGGUCAUGAGAAUGUGUUUUGUAACUUGGCUACAAUCAAUACAAGUCCCUGACAGCUUACUUAGGUGUGCAACCUUCAUAUCAUGUUAGCUGAGGGGUGGGUAAUCAGCAAGUUAUGUUAGUGUUUGGAAUUUUAAAAAGUCUAUUAAACAAGAGCGUUUGGGUAUUUGGGUUGAGGUAGACUUGAUGAGAAGACAUGAACCUAACACAUCAAAACCCAUGUCCACCCUCAGUUUACACCAAAUUCAACUUUUAGGUUUGGAUUUAUAAGGUGUUUUGAUUUGAUUUGAUGUUAAUAGCUUCCUUCUGUCAACGGAAAAUGGAUGACUGGUGUGAAUAGAACCAACCUUAUGAUGCUGUAGUGGUGGGUGGGGAGCUUAGUCUGUGGACCUUCCUCUGAAUGGGGUCAAUUUUUCAUUCUGGCUACAUUUGUUUUGAC